rnacentral:rRNA from 1 species
UGGGGAAUUUUGGACAAUGGGGGAAACCCUGAUCCAGCCAUCCCGCGUGUGCGAUGAAGGCCGUCGGGUUGUAAAGCACUUUUGGCAGGAAAGAAACGUCAUGGGUUAAUACCCCGUGAAACUGACGGUACCUGCAGAAUAAGCACCGGCUAACUACGUGCCAGCAGCCGCGGUAAUACGUAGGGUGCAAGCGUUAAUCGGAAUUACUGGGCGUAAAGCGUGCGCAGGCGGUUCGGAAAGAAAGAUGUGAAAUCCCAGAGCUCAACUUUGGAACUGCAUUUUUAACUACCGGGCUAGAGUGUGUCAGUGGGAGGUGGAAUUCCGCGUGUAGCAGUGAAAUGCGUAGAUAUGAGGAGGCACACCGAUGGCGAAGGCAGCCUCCUGAGAUAACACUGACGCUCAUGCACGAAAGCGUGGGGAGCAAACAGG